GAUCCCGUGCUCCCUGGGAGGUGUGAUCCCGUGCUUCCUGGGAGGUGUGAUCCCACACUCGCUGGGAGGUGUGAUCCUGCGUUCGCCGGGAGGUGUGAUCCCAUGCUCCUUGGGAGGUGUGAUCCUGUGCUUGCUGGGAGGUGUGAUC
rnacentral:miRNA from 1 species